UUCAUUGAUGGUGCAUUUAGCGCCUCACUCGAGCCAUUUGAAUCAGCACCUUGGAGCCUUGGUGGUCCCUCGUAUCAUUCCCCUCCUCUUGAAAGCAAUUUGUUCGCAAAUUGAAACAUGAAUGAUGACAAAAGGAGUUACAUGCCGUUGAGUCAAUUUUGUUAUGAUUACCACAAGUUUCCUCCAAUGCAAAAACCACUUGCUAAAUUGGAAAGUAACCCUUGUUGAGCCUUGAAUCUUACGAACCAACUUCAAUGUAUGCUCAAUUUGAUCGCCUUUGGCCAUGAGGUAAGGAUCCUCAAAGUGAUGCGGCAUAGGUCCCAUGAAGUCGAAUUGCUCAAAUUUGAAUAAGCCUGCAAAGUAUGCAAACUGAUUUGGUGAAAUUGGACCUCACCACAACUCCUCCUUGGACCGAAGAAGGCUUUGGUAAGUCUCCCACCACAACUCCUCCUUAAAUGGUUCAACCUCAACCUUAGACUUGGAAGAAACUAAUGGGGUCUCUUUUCUCCUUGAAUAGGUUGGCUUUGUAGAGGUAGAUUGCUUAGAACUCCUCUUUUUUACAUCCCUAUUCUCUAUUCGAUCAAGUCGUUUGUGAAGAGGUUCAAAAGUUUCAUCCAAAAUCUACUUGAAUUCUUCCCUUAUUGCAUCUGCAAAAAGUUUAAAUUUGAAAGCUUGAGAGCUUGUUUCUCCCUCGUUAGCCAUGGUGAAGUGAAAACUGUGUAUUUAGCAGUGAAAGGAGAUAAUUUUACCUCACAUACUCCCUCAUGUGUAUGCACUCACACUCGUGUUUUCACACACUAAACUCUCUAAUUAUAAGCUCGCCAAAUAUUCUCAAAACUUUGAUUUCACCCUUGAAGAAGUUAGAUCAAUUCAAAAGUUGUUCAAUGGCCUACCAAGGAAAGAGUCACUUAGCACGUAAAUUGGGGAAUGUAUGUUUAGAGAGUCGAAGCUGAUUUUGGAAGCUCGAUUACUAAGAUGAAUAACUUAACUAAAACUUGACUCGGACUGAUCAACUAGGAGAAUAGACAAUUAGACUCAAUAAUAAAAAAAAAGGACUCAACCGACUCAAAUCAAGCAAGAAAGAUGGCUGUAGUUUUCGGAUCCUAAAAGGACUUACCCGACUUGCACUUGGCUAUUUUUUGAAGGUGUAAGACAAGGCUUCUUGGACCUUUUUGGGUAGGUGUUUCGGCUGAAUGUAGAGGUUUCCUACGUGGCACAAGGUUCCAAUUAGAAUUUGGUAAGCCAAGUGUAACUAGGAUUUGUUUAUAAACCCAAGUCAACUAGGUUUUCAAGUUUCAAUAGGUUUCCUUUAGUUGUAGAAUCGAUUCUGGUUUCCUCUUUGUUCUUGUUAAGUGGCUAAUUGUGCAUAUAAUUGGUACAUAUUAUCCCCUUUGUUUUGCUAAAAUAUGGCGUUAAUCGAUAUAUUUCACUCAUAUUUGAAUUUUGGUACUGUUUGUAGGAGUUGUUAGUGAGAAUGAAGUAAAAGGCGCGUUAAAAGUCGACUUUCCAGAAGACGUCUUGUAAAGCGUGCCCACGCCUUAUCAAACUCGAAGUGGUGCUUCUAAAGGUCCAUGUCCAAAAGAGCUUUCGUUAUAAAGCGUGCCCACGCCUUAUUUGGCAAAGCAGUCAAAAGUUCGCAAGACACAAGAUAAAUCUGUCAAUUGGUCAAGGAGCCGGUUGCAUCCCAUGGGCUGACACAUUAGCCACGGAUUGAAGACCUUGAGGGGCCAUGAUUCGAUGUAAUUAUUUUGGAAAUUCAAUUAAAAGGUCUUAGUUGGAUAGUUUAGGGGAACUAGGAGUCUUAAAAGGAAAGAGGAGCCUAUCCCCUAUUAAUAGGGGAGAAAACAGACGUGGGCUGGAAUUCAUCAUCUAUCUAAAACCCUUUUAUUCUCUCGUUGGUUUUAUCUUUGAAGGGAACGAGCCGUCAUCUUUAGAUUUCUCGAGAGGAAUGAAAUUACUAUGAAAACUUUGAAUGGCUUUGUUGUCAUGACUAUGCGGCAAGGCUAGAUCAUUUAUCUAGUUGAGGAAUAAAUCAAGGAUCGGGGUACCAUAACUGUGAGAUCGUUUUAAUUGUUCAUUUUUAAUUUGUAUGUUCAUGGGUAUUUGAUUAGUCUCUAUUUUUUCCUGAGUUAUUAUUGUUUAGAUUUUUUGGAUAAUUAGACCUGUUAUUCGAUUGUCUAAAUAAUUGAUAGCCAAUUAGGAUGUUGGCGCGUUGCCUUUAAGCAUCUUGAUUAGUGGCAAACGAGACAAUUUCACCGUCACGCAAGCGAUCUAAUUUGGAUCGUGGAAAUAAUUAAUCUAGCCUAAAUAAACCCGCAUUUGUGUUUGUUAUCUAGAAUUGGGUCUUUCUAAUUCCUAAUGCUGUGGCUACAUUAAAUCCUGUGAGCGUUUCUGGGGUUGUCUAAUCACAAGAGGGUAGUUUAUGAGCGUCUCUUGACUACCAUAAAAUUAAGGAAAGAUUGGUGGUUGGGCGCGUCGCUUGACCACUAUAACCAAUUUAUUCGUGAGUAUAUGAAUUGUCCCUUGUAUCUGUGAUCAGUUGUGUGCUUCGGUGCCAAGAUUAAUUCCUUGACUAGGUUGUUUUAGUUAAUUGUUAUUUGUGUAAUUUGGUUCCUGCUAUCUUACUCAACUUUGAAUUUCCGUUUUUACUCCUUUUUUAAUUAGUUGGUACUAUUGCUAAAAAUUCCCCCCCAUCUUCCUGUGUGAUUUGCCUAUCAGUUCCCUGAGGAGACGACCCUACUUGCCCUGUUUACAAAUUAAAUUUGAGAUUGUGUUGGUUGGCAAUUAGGCUGUUAUUUUUAACUUUAUUUUUGGAGGUUUGACACCCACCAGUUCUUUCUUGUGUUUCUUUUUUUUUUCUUCCUUUUGUAGUAUAGAACGUAACCAGAUUGCUUCUUUUCUUUCUUCCAAUUCGAACACAACUCAAAGCAAAAGCUCGGCUAUGUCUUGUGAGCAAGAGCAGCUGCUACUUCAAGAUUCAAGAACUAAAUUAAUUGAUUUCAAGAAAUUCAAGAAUCACCUACGAUUUUCAAGAUUUGCAUCCAAGAUCUUUUGGCAAUUCAAGAUUUGAAUCAAGACUUUCAAAAACAAGGUAAAACAGUCUUAUUGUAGUGCAAGACACAAAAAUUUUCCCACCCUAUUAUUCAAGAACCCUAAUCGCUUCAAAGAAAGUAGCGAUCAGAUUUGUUGUUGUAGUUUCAUUUUUUUUACGUCAACAAUUUUAAGACUCAAGAACAAAACAAUCAAGACGCAAAUAAGAACAACAAAACGAGAUAGAUUGGCAACUAAACUAAAAAAAAAAUUUUUACUAGUGAACACUGACUCCAGAUGAACAGUAGCGAUGAACAGUAACGAUGAACAGUAAUUUUUUUUUCUUUCAGAUUCACGAAUGACACAAAGAAAUACUAUGAACAAUAAGGAUAUAAUCUGAAAGUUGUCAACUAGCUCUGAUUACCGGAUGUGAUACACACUUGAACACGAUCUAGAUAAUAACAUUGACGGUUUGACACCGGAGAAUUUGAUCCAAUCUAAUUCUCAAAAUAGCGAACAAUAUUGAUACUAUCUCAACUCGUAACUUAACGAAUUAGCGAAUCAAAUUAUAGAUAGUAGAACGCCACAACCAAGGAGUUACUUGAUUGAUAAGUUCGGAAUGAAUAACUUGAGAAAGACUCUCAAUUAUUCAAAUGAGCUCUCUUGGAAAGAGAAAAGUGAAUAACUCACGAAAUUUUAUUGAUAAAAAAUUGAUUAUGAAGGUCCCUAACUUCGCCUAUAUAUAGCCAUACAAACUAGAAAGUCUAAAGUAAAUUGGAUUCACUUAAAUUAGAAAUCCUAAAGUGAAUUGAAUUCACUUAUUUACUAAACUAAUUAAUUCGGCUAACCAAGACAAAAUCUGGCCGAAUUUUAAUCUCUACUAAAUGACUCAAUUUGGCAAGGUAAAUGACAAACAAACCCUUGCUUAACACCACCAAAUAAAUGACACCACUUGGACUAAUUAGUUAACUAAAUUGAUUUGCUUGGACAAUCUUCAUGUUCUCAUCAUUCCCCUCCUCUUGAAAGUAAUUUUUCCACAAAUUGAAACACAGAUAGUGACAAGUAGGGGUGGCAAUUCGGGUCCAAAUCAAGUUGGCCGUGACCCGACCCGCCAACCCGUGACGGGUCAGGUAUACUGACUCAAACUCGAAAAUUUCAGGUUGACGGGUUGGCGGGUCGACCCGAAAUGACUCCAAACUUAAUUUUAAUUUAUUAAUUUAUCACUGUAAUUUCUAAUAAAAUUAAUUUCUCACAAAACUAAUUACAUAAUCAAGUAAUAAAAAUUUAAAUAAAUAAUUCCAAACCAAAUCUAAAAUAAAUUAAACACCGUAAAAGUGUGUUAUCCAAAACAAAAUAUAAAAUAAAUUAAAACAGUAUAAAAGUAAAAAAUAAUAUAAUAUAUUAUUUGUCCAAAUAUAAUAAUUUCAACUUCACACAAAUUAAAUAAAUUCAUUUAGGAUUAAGUAAUUAAUGCCUUUGAAAAAAAAGAAUAACUUAAUUUAGUUAGAUAAAAUUAUUUUUAUGUUUAUUAAAUUAUUUUUAAUUCGUAAACGGGUCAUAUCAGGUCACCACGGGUUGACUCGAAAUCGACAUGUUUUCUUUUCGGGUUCAUCGGGUUCAACACGAUUCUGACCCGAAUUCCCGAAACUUAAACCCAAAUCCAUUAAUUUUGUGUUAGAUUCGUGUCGUGUUUUCAAGUCGUGUCGAAAAUUGCCACCUCUAGUGACAAGAAAAGUUACAUGCCUUUAGUCAAUCUCGUUAGGAUGACUACAAAUGUCAUCCAAUGCAAAAAUCACUUGCUAAAUUGGAAAAUACUCCUUGUUGACCCUUGAAUCUCACGAAUCAGUUUCAAUGUAUGCUGAACUUGAUUGCUUCUGGUCAUGAGGUAAGGGUCCUCAAAAUGGUGUGAUAUGUAUCCCAUGAAAUCCAACUCAUGCUUGAAUACACUUGCAAGACUCCAAGGCAGCUUUAUUGGAGUUGGAUCUUCAUGUGGACUAAGGGCAAGAUGACAAUUGUAGUGGCAAUGAUCAUUAAGGAAUUCAUUCUUUGAACGAACCCUUGGUACAUAUCCAUCCCCAAAAUUUGGAAUGUUCCCUUCAAUAUGAGCUCGAAUUAACUCUCCAUUGGUGUGGACAGAUUUGAAUUGACAUUGUUCCAUGAAUUGAUGUCAAAGGGACUUAACUCUUGAAAGACAAACUCCAUGGAAACUUACAAGGUGUACAAUUGACUUUGGAAUGGAAUACACCAAGAUUACCUCAACUUGACUUUACUUGAUCUGUAUAAAAGAAGAAACACUAAACAAAACAAAGGUAAGUUCGUUAGGAAAAUAAUAGACCAUCAUAUUUUUGCUCAAAAUCAACUAACUUUCUCUCUUUUCUUUUUUUUUUACCACUCAUCUCAUCAGAUUUUUCCAUCUGCUUUUCUAGCUCAAUAGCUGACUUUUUCCUCUCAUUAUUCUCAACCUCUUUUUCCUUUUCAACUCCCUUGAAUUGUAUCUCAUCAGUCACAAUUCCCUCAUCUACCUUUUUCUUCAUACUAUAACACUUAUGCUCACUUUUCAUGUAUGUUAGAUCAAUACCAAGUUGGUCAUAAAUAAGUGAUACAAGUGCAGAAUGACGACCAUUAAAUAAGAAGGAAUACUUAUUAGUAUAUCCAUCAUAUUUAACUUCUCGCCUCAACAUCCAUGCUUUACCCAACAAUACAUGUGUCACUUGAAUUGGGACUACAUCACACAAUACCUCAUCCACAUACUUGCCAAUUUGAUUAGGUAUAAGUGUGUGCUUAGUAACCCAAACAUCACCAUGAGCACUCGACAACUUAUACGGUUGAAGAUGAUCAAUGGUUGAAAAAUUUAAUUUGUUAACCAUGAUAGCGCUUGCAAGAUUGACUUUGCAACUCCUAUCAAUGGCCAAGCUGCCGGUUUUAUCUUUGACAUCACAACGAGGAUAAAACCAACCAUGCAACUUAAAUUUUACAAUGUCCAACUGCUCAUCUAUACCACGUAAUGCCACUUCUUUAAUUCCCUUAGGAUCAGGAAGAAGAUGUUGUAAACUAGCUUUUAAAUGCCUCGUAUUCGCCAUGAUGUAUGAAAAAACCUAUAAAAAAAUUAGUGAAACAAAAGAUAUUUUUCUCACCACACAAUCUCACGUGUUUACACUCGUCACUUGUGUAUCACUCAAGUGUUUAAAACACUCUAAUACUCUCACUAAUCACUUCUCAAGUCACUUGACUGCUUCUCUUGAAGAAAUCAGAAUUUUUUUUCAAGAAAUUCAACCAAACUUCACUCAAGUUUUACCCAAAAUGUGGCGUAUAAUUGCUGAAAUUUUAGGGUUGAAUAGGGACUCAAAAAGGCAGCAAAACAUGAGCAAAACAUGCUGAAAUUUUCAAAUUUUAGUCCACAAAAAAGGUGUCCUAAGUGUUGGAAGUGUUUGACUUUGACAAGUACUCACUUUGGGAACUAACACCAAUUAAAUCCUAAACUGAUUUGGACUUGUUGUGGUAUAUUUAGACACGAAUUUAGACCUGAAAAAUACUAAAAAAUGAUGCUAUUCACUAUGGGACAGUUUGUAAACUACGACUCAACAAGGCAAAAAUUUGGCAGAAUUUUAGAAAACCUAGAUGAAACUCUACCCGAUUUGCACUAGGCUGGAUUUUUGGAAGUUGUAAGCAAGGUGUAAUGGGUUGUUUUUGGAUGGUUUAGUGGCUGAUUUUCUGGUUCUUCACGACUCCAAAGGUGACCAAUCAGAAUUUGGUAAUUUGAGUGCAACUAGGGUUUGUUUUGCAAACCCAAAUCAACUUGAUUUCCAAAUUCAAGUUGGUUUCCUUUUUGUUUUCUCCUUGUAAUUCGAUUUUGUUUCCUCUUUUUUUUUUUUCUUGCGUUUUCUUUCUUUCUUUCUUUCUUUUUGUAACGUAAUCAGCUUUUUUUUUCUUCAAUUCGGAUCACAACAAGAAACAAGAAUCUCGUUUGGAUAUUUGCACAAGAUCAGUCCAAUUCAAGAAACAAGAAUUAAAUUUUGAUUUGUUCUAGAUUUGUUUAAUCUUGGUUUCAAGAAUUUCAAGAACCAAACCACUACUUCAAGAUAGAUGUCAAGAAUUCCAACCGUGCUUGGCGAACUCGUAUUCCAAUAACAAGAUCUAGACACGUGACUUCAAUAUUUGAUUGCGCGUAACCCUAAACCCCCUUAGAAUUUCUUAGAUGAGAACUAAGACUAAUUCUUAACCCUAAAAAAAAGAUUAAAGGAACUUAUGGUUUUGGUAGAAUGGCGCUACGAAUAAGUGUGAUUCUUGUUUGAUAAGCCAAGAAGAACACUUAGAACCAAUCUAAGAUAUUUAAAGGUUAACCGACGCUAAGAGAAUUACUCUUAAAACUGAAAUUUCUUUAUUGAUGAUUGAAUGAAUAAAACUUGACCAAGCCUUCUUUUUAUAGGUUUCAUAAACAGAAAUCCUAAGUAGCAAUGGAAAACAAUAUUAACUCCAACUAAUUCUAAACCUAACUUACUAAGGAAACUGUCAACCGAAUUUGGAAAGUGCUCUAACGCCCCAAAUGGACAAGGGCUAGUCAGCUAAGGCCCACAUGGGCUGUCCAACCUUAUUCUCAAGCCUACACUAGACACUUUACUCGAUGAUGAAGCCCAUCAUGCAGUCCACCCUCUCUCUAGUCAUCCGUGGCUUCCUCAUGGACUUGGAGUAGGCUCACCAUUGUGUGAUUAGACUCUUGAAUCCUCCCUAUGCGUGUAUGAACGAUUUGUAGAAAUGUUUGGAGGUUUUCUCGCAUCUUCUUUACCCUUGCUCGAGUCAUCGGUCUAGGGUUCAUUGAUGGGUGCAUUUAGCGCCUCACUCGAGCCAUUUGAAUCAGCACCUUGGAGCCUUGGUGGUCCCUCGUAUCAUUAUUGCAUAUGAAAUGGGGCAACAUAUAUAUUUGGUGAACCAUAUCCAGUCUCACAAAUUAAUCUUGAGUACAAUAAAUAUGCUGUGCUCCAAGAAUUAGACUAGAGAUGGAUCUUCUGUGGUGUAACCGGGCAAUGACCGACCAACCAGUAGGCUAUGUAUAUUGUUGUUGGAGUAGUUAGAUUCACAUUUGAGCUUUCACAUGCGAUGUUUCCCUCAAAACAUUAACUAAUCCAGCUACCUAUCUCGGAUUCACAUUUAAUGUCACAAUUUAUUGUUCUUAAAUAUUUUUCUUUAUUGUGAAUAUAGGCAAUGUCACAGUCUUACCUCUGGACAACACACACAGUCCCGUGACUUUUUACUAAUUGAUAUUUAGGACCACAAUUCAAUGUUAUCAUGAUUUUUCAAUAACUAUUAAAUGAGAUUUUUUAUGAAUUUUUUGCUGUCUUUUUUAAUUUUCUAUUAUAUAUUACUUUUUUGAAACUGUUGUAUUUAUUUUUUACUCAAUUAAUAGUUAUUGAAGUUGCUGUAUUUAUUUUAUAAUAUUUUAAGUUUGUUAAAUUUUGUAUAUUACUCAAUUAAUAGUUAUUGGAUCUUUAAAAAAUAAAAAAGAACUAAAAUAUAAUGUUUAUGUAGGAGAAAUAGCAAUAUAAUAAAAAGUGGGACAGGGAGUGGCACAGGGUGUGGGACAGAAGAUC
rnacentral:lncRNA from 1 species